rnacentral:rRNA from 1 species
UACGUAGGGUGCGAGCGUUGUCCGGAAUUAUUGGGCGUAAAGGGCUCGUAGGCGGUUUGUCGCGUCGGGAGUGAAAACACUGGGCUUAACUCAGUGCUUGCUUCCGAUACGGGCAGACUAGAGGUAUGCAGGGGAGAACGGAAUUCCUGGUGUAGCGGUGAAAUGCGCAGGUAUCAGGAGGAACACCGGUGGCGAAGGCGGUUCUCUGGGCAUUACCUGACGCUGAGGAGCGAAAGUGUGGGGAGCGAACAGG